AACGUAGGAGACAAACGUUAUCCGGAGUUACUGGGCGUAAAGGGCGUGUAGGUGGUUUUGUAAGUCUGGCGUGAAAUUUUUCGGCUUAACCGGGAAAGGUCGUCGGAUACUGCAGGACUAGAGGACGGUAGAGGCGUGUGGAAUUCCGGGUGUAGUGGUGAAAUGCGUAGAGAUGUGGAGGAACACCGAUGGCGAAGGCAGCCCCCUGGGCUGAGAUUGACGCUCAGGCACGAAAGCGUGGGGAGCAAACAGG
rnacentral:rRNA from 1 species